CUUUCGAGAACUCUAACGAGUCGUCGAAAUAGGGACUCAUCUGAAAACAUGAUACGUGACCAGCGACGAAUACCCCAGUUCUGACGCUCCCUACACCAUUCACGUCUGUGGGCAAUGUGACAAUUUGUGAAGAUUAUCUGACGAUUCGCUAUGAAGUUCUCUGCCUUGUGUUGUGUCCUCGUCUUUGUGGUCGGAGU